rnacentral:misc_RNA from 1 species
UCUUAAUCCUCCAUCUUUCGUUAAAAAAAUUGCCAGGAUACAGUUCGAUUGGAGUUGCAUAAGAAAGAAUUACAUCCAGCGAUAACUGACAAAACAGCUUCAACUAACUCAUUACUAGUCUCUUAGAAGGUCUCGUUGCAUUCUGCAUCACCAGAAGUUAUUAUAGAUGUCAAGAGCAGAAUUAUCAAUAAUUCAACAUUUCUUUUGCUGAGAACCCAAAGUAGAUAUCAGAAUGAUUUGGGGGCUCGAAUACGAAACAAGAGAUCACAUCUCUAAGAGUAAUCACGCCAACAACUUCAUUAUCAUUGUCCGCAACCACAUAAAUCCUGUGAANNNNNNUUUGAAGCAAUAUUCUGGAUCACACUACCAAGAUUUGCAUUUAGCUUGCAUGUUAUUGGCGGGACGACUCUGCCAAUUUCUCGAGUUGAGCUGAUGGUUUUGAUGAAAUCUGUUACUGUGAGCUGCCUGAAAUUUGUGAAAAGUUCUGGUUUCAGUAGCAAAUGCCUUAUAUCCCUUAUGCUUAAAUUCCCCAUAAUUUCCUUCUUUGGCCCCUCUACAACUGGAAGACCGCCAAUUUGGUGAUCUCUCAUUUGCUUGAAAGCUUCUAAAAUCAGCUCAUUGCUCUGGAUACUAACAACCUCAUUGGGAGACAUGAAAGGAAGUCCAAAAUCUGAAAUAGGUCGUGCAGCAAUACAAUCGAACCAAUCCCUUCCCUUGCACCCCUCUAGACCCUGAAUAAUUGCAGAUUGGGUAAUAAAGUUCUUAACAUCAGGGUUUCCUGGUUCAAUCACGGGUACAUUUCGCAGUCUAUAUUUUGAGAGUAGAAGUAAGACGCUCAACAUUGAACUAUCUGUUGCAACUGGAAGGAAAGGAGCCCAGCGGUAUGAUUUGAUUAUUGACUUCACAGUGGUUGACUUAAAGGGUUCUUCUUGAAGGAUAACUUUGUAGAAAUCCUGCCCCAAGUUGUCAGCAGCUGUGGGAGCAUCUUUUCCCAACCCCUUAUCUGCAGCCACACCACCAACUACAGCAGCACCAACAGCCGCAGCUGUUAGUCCAGCAAUUGCAGCUGGACCAGUGAUGCCCAAUGCUACAGCUCCAAGAGCACCAACAGCUCCAGCGCCCACACCAGCAGCUGUUGCAGUACUGGCUGAUAAAGCAACAGCUGCAAGUUCCGCACUCUCU